UCACAGCAACCCCACCACCACGUCCCCUGCCCUGCAUCUCCACCUUACCCAACCCACCUUCCAGUAUAUCCCCUACCUGCUUCCACCACUUUUUCCCAGACUUCUUCCCCCAAGCCUCCUACUAGAGUUAAGAGCCUGGAAGCCUUAGAGGAGAGGAAAAAACAAAAAACCUGGUACGAGGUCCCAGUACCAGGGUGACCUUGGCCUCUUCUGCCCCCAUCAGCUGGCCCUCGCUGGGUCUACUCCAAGGAGGGGUGUUGGAAAGGUUGUCUGGGGGGGGUGUCUCCAUGGCAACUGGGCCUAGUGCCCCACACGUGUGUUCCCUCCUCACCUCCACGCCUGCCUGCCCACAUGCAGCCCCUGCCCGAGCCCUAUUCAUCAGUGCCCUGGACACUGACACCCCCAGCCUCCCUCUCCCCCAGUUCUGGCCCCUUCCUCUCUUUCCUCUCCAGGAAGAUGCUGAGUUUCUGCUCCUCUCCAUCUCUCGGCCUCUUCUCCCCGUGUAUCUGUGCCCCCUUGCCACAGGCACCACCAGUUCCAGCAUCCGAGCAAAUUCCUGUCUCCACCUGGGGACUCGGUUAUACUGGAGGCAAAAGCUGUCUCCCAUUAGAGGAGAACAUCGGUGAGAAAAGGUCUUUGCACGCUGCUCUAGACAAGCAGUUCUUUCAAGACAGUAUCUUCAUGGAAAUGCUGUCAAAAACGAAAAGCUGGCCCUAAUCACAGACUCGGGUUGGAGAGUUUGCCUGCUUCGCUGUCUCGUGGAAUUCUUGCAGAAUCCCGGCAGGGUGUGCACUGAUGUUCCCAUAUUACAGAUGAACAGACUGAGGCAGCGAUUUGCCCACCGUCACCUGGGGAAAUACAAAGACAGCGCUGCAGAUGAAGCAGCCUCUCUGUGGGGAGUUGCCAGGAAGAGUCUGUAACAGAUGCAUCAUGCCUUCAAGGUUUCUGAGUGUGGCUCCUCUUCCUGGAUGCCUCUUCCAUCUCUCAGCCAUUUGAUCAACCCUCUUCUAAUGCUCCAAGAUUCCGCUGACAUGCUUCUUCCUCCAGGAAGUCUUCCCUGACCCCCCAGGUGCUUGAGUGUUUCUCAUCAACAGCAGCUGGGGCCUUUGUGUUUUCUCAAGAGGAGUGCAGUGCUGGUGGCGUGUUUUCCCGCUGUACCAGGAAGAGAAGAUCAGCGUUUCUAAAACGUCCUCAUUCAGGGUGAAGUGGAAAUAUUCCAGCGCUGCUGGGGAGUCAGAUGGCCUGAGUUCCAAUCUUUGCUUUUCCUUGACUCCCUAAAGGACCCAGAAUCAAAUCAUUGCACUCUUCACGGAAGCCUGCCUUCUCUUGUCUAAAAAGGGGUUGAGGGCUGGGACUAGGGAUCCCCCCCCCCCGGAUGGGAUCAAAAAUGGGACGGAGAUUCAAAAAUCACACGUCCAGGGAAUGCUGGCCGGGCUCUUUCGGAGCCUGUGAAGCCCCUGAAAUUAUGUAUGAAGGUUUUUUUUUUUUUCUUUUUUUUUGGCCAU